rnacentral:lncRNA from 1 species
AAGCUACGGAGGGAGGCUGGAGGAAGGCGUGAGGAGAGGGUUUGAGAGAUGGAUGCAGCCCAUCAUUUACAAAAUCUCUAGAAAAUGUCACAUAAAAAUAAAGCACAUGAUGAUCACUUAGCUGGCAACCAGAAAUGAUAUGGAAACGGAGCGCAUUCAAGAGUUCCACAGCCCUUAAGCGAGUCUCCCAGCCUCCCAGGUUUUGAUCCUGGACCUAGCAGUGAACGGUUGCCUGAGGGAAACAGACAACUUGAGUGUAAGAAUCCCGGGUCUGAAGAACUGACAGACCCAGAAACAAAGAAAAAGUGAGUCAGAACUCAGACGUUUAACUAGCUUUCUCCCUGACUUAAAAAACCAUGACAUUUAUUGACUUACUUAUUUUGUGUGCAUGCGCAUGGUGGAGUUCAGUGGUCAACUUCUGGGAAUCUGAUUUUUCUUUCAACCACCUGGGUCCCAGGGAUCAAACUCAGGUUGUCAAGUCUGGCGCCGAGGACCUUUACCCACUGAGCCAUCUCGCUGGCCCCUCUCCUCGACUUAACCAUCAGACUGUGAUGAUGCCCAAGUUUCUCCUGCAGGACAUCAUGAUGUCAUCACUGAUGUCACCACAACCCAGACAGCGAAGUCCUUCUAGAGAUGGGAAUGUGAAGUGAAGAAGAGUAAACCCAGUGUGUCUGUGACCUGUGAUGCAU